AGGGUUCGAUUCUGGCUCAGGAUGAACGCUGGCGGCGUGCUUAACACAUGCAAGUCGAACGGGAUCCAUCAGGCUUUGCUUGGUGGUGAGAGUGGCGAACGGGUGAGUAAUGCGUGACCGACCUGCCCCAUACACCGGAAUAGCUCCUGGAAACGGGUGGUAAUGCCGGAUGCUCCAGUUGAUCGCAUGGUCUUCUGGGAAAGCUUUCGCGGUAUGGGAUGGGGUCGCGUCCUAUCAGCUUGACGGCGGGGUAACGGCCCACCGUGGCUUCGACGGGUAGCCGGCCUGAGAGGGCGACCGGCCACAUUGGGACUGAGAUACGGCCCAGACUCCUACGGGAGGCAGCAGUGGGGAAUAUUGCACAAUGGGCGCAAGCCUGAUGCAGCGACGCCGCGUGAGGGAUGGAGGCCUUCGGGUUGUAAACCUCUUUUAUCGGGGAGCAAGCGAGAGUGAGUUUACCCGUUGAAUAAGCACCGGCUAACUACGUGCCAGCAGCCGCGGUAAUACGUAGGGUGCAAGCGUUAUCCGGAAUUAUUGGGCGUAAAGGGCUCGUAGGCGGUUCGUCGCGUCCGGUGUGAAAGUCCAUCGCUUAACGGUGGAUCCGCGCCGGGUACGGGCGGGCUUGAGUGCGGUAGGGGAGACUGGAAUUCCCGGUGUAACGGUGGAAUGUGUAGAUAUCGGGAAGAACACCAAUGGCGAAGGCAGGUCUCUGGGCCGUUACUGACGCUGAGGAGCGAAAGCGUGGGGAGCGAACAGGAUUAGAUACCCUGGUAGUCCACGCCGUAAACGGUGGAUGCUGGAUGU
rnacentral:rRNA from 1 species